CCUAGGAUGACCCAGGAGAUGGUUUGCUGAAGGUGCCGGAAGCAGUGCCACGUGAGCUGAUCGCAUGCUGCCUUCACAUCCCUUGCAGGAGUGUCGUGUGCCUGCUGCUGCGGGUGUGCAGAUGUGAUGUCCUCGGGAAAAGUGUGGCUUGUUAAGUCCAGAUGUGUCCCCAGUAUGCAGAGGCAUUGUGGGAGUUGAACUGUCAGGAACAUUCUAGACUCCAGUCUCCUUGAGCUGUUUGGAACCAUCACAGACAGUGAAAAGGGACAAUGCUCCACAUGUUGGGCAAGAGUGUCAGUUACACUGUAAGAACUGUGGGAUGGAUCAUAAGAGUUGGUGUGGUGAUCUUCUGGAGGCAGAAAGUUACAAACUCUUACACCAUUGUUCUCUUUCAGGUGCACUGUAUGGACUGACACCGACAUUACAGUUUCCAAAGAUGCUCUCCAGUUCUGUUUCUGGCUAGAGGUUGUGUUGUGGAACAAGUUUAAAUUGAGACUGUGUUUGGAGGAUGCUGGCAGCUUUACUCAGCACAGCACUUCCUGUACCUCUAUGGUUUAUUAAAGACAUACAUGCUUUUCUCUUGCAUUGCACAGUUUUUUGAUGCUUUAGUCUUUAUUCUUCCUUCAAGGUGUAUGUGCAUGCAUUUUAUGUCAAUUUAGUUGAAAACCUCAAACGUUUUCUUUUUCAGCCAUAAAGAAUAAAGAA